rnacentral:tRNA from 1 species
GCGCGAGUAGCUCAGUUGGAUAGAGCGCCUGACUACGAAUCAGAAGGUCGCAGGUUCAAGUCCUGUCUCGCGCG